rnacentral:rRNA from 1 species
GGGGGGGGGGGGGGGGGGGCGGGGGGGGGGGGGGGCGGAGGGCAGCGGGGGCUUCGGCCGGGCGGCGAGUGGCGAACGGGGGAGUAAUGCAUCGGAACGUGCCCAGGGGUGGGGGAGAGCCCGGCGGAAGCCGGAUUAAUACCGCAUACGACCUGAGGGUGAAAGCGGGUGACCGAAAGGCCUCGCGCUAUUGGAGCGGCCGAUGUCGGAUUAGCUAGUUGGUGGGGUAAAGGCUUACCAAGGCGACGAUCCGUAGCUGGUCUGAGAGGACGACCAGCCACACUGGGACUGAGACACGGCCCAGACUCCUACGGGAGGCAGCAGUGGGGAAUUUUGGACAAUGGGGGCAACCCUGAUCCAGCCAUGCCGCGUGCGGGAAGAAGGCCUUCGGGUUGUAAACCGCUUCUGUUCGGGAAGAAAUCCUCUGGGCUAAUACCCCGGGGGGAUGACGGUACCGGAAGAAUAAGCACCGGCUAACUACGUG